CAGCAGCCGCGGUAAAACGGAGGGAGCUAGCGUUGUUCGGAAUUACUGGUCGUAAAGCGCGCGUAGGCGGUUACUCAAGUCAGAGGUGAAAGCCCGGGGCUCAACCCCGGAACUGCCUUUGAAACUAGGUGACUAGAAUCUUGGAGAGGUCAGUGGAAUUCCGAGUGUAGAGGUGAAAUUCGUAGAUAUUCGGAAGAACACCAGUGGCGAAGGCGACUGACUGGACAAGUAUUGACGCUGAGGUGCGAAAGCGUGGGGAGCAAACAGGAUUAGAUACCCCCGUAGUCCCUGUCUCUUAUAC
rnacentral:rRNA from 1 species